AAGCUUUACUAUAAAGCUUACUUUUCUCUUUCAUAGACUUUCGACAGUAGUUCUUCAAAAAGCUUGAAAAUUUGAACUAGAAAGAAAUACAAAGAAGUUGGAUAAAUGCUGGGUGAAGUUGGUCUGAUGAUCUUUUUUUCCUAAGAAGAUCAGCUCCCUUAAUGUUCCUGCAAUGCUCCUCCGAUUCUGAUUACAGGGCAUUCUGCUCUCCUUAGACAAGCAGAGUUAAAUGCAUUGGUGGAUCUGCAUGUGAAUGAGGCAAUGACACACACGAGUUUGGAGCAGAAUCACAGCCAAAAGAGGCUGAGGAAAGUGUGAGCUCCGUGUUGUGACAAAGCUAAUGUCAAAAAAGGACAGUGGUCUCCUGAGGAAGAUGAAGCUAAGUCUUGACACUCAUGGAACUGGUGGCAAUUGGAUUCAUCUGCCACAAAAAGCUGGCUUUUAGGUUCUGCAACAAGAAUCGAGUUGACCGCAUUAAGAACGCGUGGUUUUCUAAUAAAGAAGCCAAGCUGCCGAAAUCGCAGAAAUUCACCCCUGAAUUUGGUUGGUUUUCGAUCCCUAUUUGCUCUUCAAUUUAGUUUACAUUGGUCACUUUAUGUGGAUUUAUUGAUCUGUCAGAAUUGAGGCAUUAAUUCAAUGUUUUCAUAUUGUGGGAACUUUAUUUCUUCUGUGACUUGGCAUCUUAGUAAUUGACUGCAAUACUUUCAAGAAAAGUCAGUUCAUCAACGCGCAGACACUACUAGCUAACAAACCUACUACUUCUUACUGUACCAAAAAAAUGAAAAUUCAGCAUCCUUCAGAUUCAUAUAAAAGCUGUCUUGCUGCCUUGAUAAUUACAGAUUAAGCAAUAUCAGUAUAUCAAAGAUACAAAACAAAUUGCUUCUAAAACCUCAAAAGGUUCUCUUACAAAUCUGGUGUGGGAAUGUCCUUCUGUGAUUUUGAUCAUUGAUUUAUUUGUAUUAUCCUCCAACACUGUGGCACUCAGAGUGAUAACUCGGUCAGCUAUGAGUAGAUGUAUAGCAGCCUGCUUCAAUGCUCAUGUUGUGAAGUUUUUAGUCACACAAAGGUGCUGGACUUGGGAACUUUGAGAUCUUUUUUCACAUGUUUGUUAUAGGAGAGAUCUUCUAUCAUUGUUGUGUCUGAAAUCUCUUUCUUUGAGAAAGGCAGCACUUUUGAAAAUUGUUUUUGUUAUUUCCUGCAAAGGAAGAGGCAGUGACAGAUAAUUAAUUUGAAUGCUGUAAAAUAUGAUGUAAUAAACAUGUAAAAUGUUUGUCAUUAAUGAAAUCGAUAUCUGAUAGCUUUCAGUUCUCCUUACA